rnacentral:tRNA from 8 species
GGCGGGAUAGCUCAGUUGGCUAGAGCACACGGUUCAUACCCGUGGUGUCGCUGGUUCAAAUCCAGUUCCCGCUAC